GUGGAGCCUGCCUGUUAGUCUCUUCUCGGUAUACAGGUUUAAGUCUUAUGUAGCUGGUGUCGGCUGUAUUGUAUAUUCUGCACACUCCACCGAAGGUCUACGGAGUCCCUUCAAGCCCACUUCAAUGCUUCAAACACCAGUGCCCACUACCAUACCCACCCCAAGACCUGUUUCAGUGCAACCUGCUAACUGGCCUCCUUGUUAUGUACAUCAAAGUAUCCAUCAAAGUAGCUUUCUAAAGAAUAAAAAAGGAGCCGGAAGAGCUCUACAAUCCAAAGUACACACCAUAUUUUAAGACAUGGUGUUUUAAUUGUAAUCAAUAAAUUGGUCUUAAAA